UGAAGUGCUGUGGAUUUCUUUGUGAAUCACCAUAUCUAAGCUAAUGUGGUGGUGGUUUACAAAGUAAUUCAUAGUGCUUCA
rnacentral:pre_miRNA from 12 species